rnacentral:tRNA from 1 species
GCGGGAGUGCCGGAGCGGCCAAACGGGCAAGCUUGAGGUGCUUGUGGCUUAGUGCCUGCACAGGUUCGAUUCCUGUCUCCCGCA